GAANUCUAACGGCUUAACCGUUAAACUGCUUGGGAAACUGAUANUCUAGAGUAAGGGAGAGGCAGAUGGAAUUCUUGGUGUAGGGGUAAAAUCCGUAGAUAUCAAGAAGAAUACCUAUUGCGAAGGCGNUCUGCUGGAACUUAACUGACGNUAAUGCGUGAAAGCGUGGGGAGCAANCAGGAUUAGAUACCCUGGUAGUCCACGCCCUAAACGAUGUAUACCGGUUGUUGCUGUGCUAGUCACGGCAGUAAUCCACCUAACGGAUUAAGUAUACCGCCUGGGGAGUACGGUCGCAAGAUUAAAACUCAAAGGAAUAGACGGGGACCCGCACAAGCGGUGGAGCAUGUGGUUUAAUUCGAAGAUACGCGAAGAACCUUACCCGGACUUGAUAUCUAACAAAUCAUCCAGAGAUGGAAGAGUGUCUGCUUGCAGAAAUGUUAAGACAGGUGCUGCACGGCUGUCGUCAGCUCGUGUCGUGAGAUGUUGGGUUAAGUCCCGCAACGAGCGCAACCCACGUCAUUAGUUGCUAACGGUUCGGCCGAGCACUCUAAUGAGACUGCCUUCGUGAGGAGGAGGAAGGUGUGGACGACGUCAAGUCAUCAUGGCCCUUAUGUCCGGGGCGACACACGUGCUACAAUGGCAUAUACAAUAAGACGCAAUAUCGUAAGAUGGAGCAAAUCUAAAAAAUAUGUCCCAGUUCGGAUUGGAGUCUGCAACUCGACUCCAUGAAGCCGGAGUCGCUAGUAAUCGUAGAUCAGCCAUGCUACGGUGAAUACGUUCCCGGGUCUUGUACUCACCGCCCGUCACACCAUGGGAGUUGAUUUCACUCGAAGCG
rnacentral:rRNA from 1 species